rnacentral:rRNA from 1 species
CCUACGAGUGGCAGCAGUGAGGAAUAUUGGUCAAUGGGCGCAAGCCUGAACCAGCCAAGUCGCGUGAGGGAUGACGGUCCGAUGGAUUGUAAACCUCUUUUGUCGGGGAGCAAGGCCCGCCACGUGUGGCGGGAAGGAGAGUACCCGAAGAAAAAGCAUCGGCUAACUCCGUGCCAGCAGACGCGGUAAUACGGAGGAUCCGAGCGUUAUCCGGAUUCAUUGGGUUUAAAGGGUGCGUAGGUUGUUUUAUAAGUUAGCGGUGAAAUACCGAUGCUCAACAUCGGGGCUGCCGCUAAUACUGUAGGACUAGAGAUCGGAUGCAGCAGGCGGAAUGUGUAGUGUAGCGGUGAAAUGCAUAGAUAUUACACAGAACACCGAUUGCGAAGGCAGCUUGCUAGGCCGGAUCUGACACUGAUGCACGAAAGCGUGGGGAUCGAACAGGAUUAGAUACCCCUGUAGUC